rnacentral:rRNA from 1 species
CCUACGGGAGGCUGCAGUGGGGAAUAUUGCACAAUGGGGGAAACCCUGAUGCAGCCACGCCGCGUGAGUGAAGAAGUCCUUCGUUAUGUAAAGCUCUUUCAGCAGGGAAGAAAAUGACGGUACCUGAGUAAUAAGCCCCGGCUAACUACGUGCCAGCAGCCGCGGUAAUACGCAGGGGGCAAGCGUUAUCCGGAUUUACUGGGCGUAAAGGGAGCGUAGACGGCAGAGUAAGUCAGAGGUGAAAGGCCGGGGCUCAACCACAGGACUGCUCUGGAUACUGUACGGCUGGAGUGCAGUAGAGGUAAGUGGAAUUCCUGGUGUAGCGGUGAAAUGCGUAGAUAUCAGGAGGAACACCAGUGGCGAAGGCGGCUUACUGGACUGUAACUGACGUUGAGGCUCGAAAGCGUGGGGAGCAAACAGGAUUAGAUACCCUUGUAGUC